AGCGAACGCUGGCGGCAGGCCUAACACAUGCAAGUCGAACGGACCCUUCGGGGUUAGUGGCGGACGGGUGAGUAACACGUGGGAACGUGCCUUUAGGUUCGGAAUAGCUCCUGGAAACGGGUGGUAAUGCCGAAUGUGCCCUUCGGGGGGAAGAUUUAUCGCCUAUAGAGCGGCCCGCGUCUGAUUAGCUAGUUGGUGAGGUAACGGCGCACCAAGGCGACGAUCAGUAGCUGGGCUGAGAGGAUGACCAGCCACACUGGGACUGAGACACGGCCCAGACUCCUACGGGAGGCAGCAGUGGGGAAUCUUGCGCAAUGGGCGAAAGCCUGACGCAGCCAUGCCGCGUGAAUGAUGAAGGUCUUAGGAUUGUAAAAUUCUUUCACCGGGGACGAUAAUGACGGUACCCGGAGAAGAAGCCCCGGCUAACUUCGUGCCAGCCGCCGCCGUAA
rnacentral:rRNA from 1 species